rnacentral:rRNA from 1 species
UACGAAGGGGGCUAGCGUUGCUCGGAAUCACUGGGCUUAAAGCGUGUGUAGGCGGAUCGUUAAGUACCUUGUGAAAAUCCCACGGCUCAACCGUGGAACUGCUGGGUAUACUGGCGAUCUUGAGCCACCUAGGGGCGAGCGGAACAAGCGGUGGAGCGGUGAAAUGCGUAGAUAUCAUUUGGAACGCCAAUGGUGAAAAACAGCUCGCUGGGGGGUGUGCUGACGCUGAGACACGAAAGCCAGGGGGAGCGAACGGGG